rnacentral:antisense_RNA from 15 species
CUUCACCGAGCCCAGCCACAGCGGCCGGCCGUCCGCCCGUUCCUGCCCGUAGGUGGCCAGGAGUGCCUGCGCUUC